UACGGAGGGUGCAAACGUUGCUCGGAAUCAUUGGGCGUAAAGCGCACGUAGGCGGCUUCUUAAGUCGGGUGUGAAAGCCCUCGGCUCAACCGAGGAAGUGCAUUCGAAACUGAGGGGCUUGAAUACUGGAGAGGAUGGCGGAAUUCCCGGUGUAGAGGUGAAAUUCGUAGAUAUCGGGAGGAACACCAGUGGCGAAGGCGGCUCACUGGUCCGGUACUGACGCUGAGGUGCGAAAGCGUGGGGAGCAAACAGG
rnacentral:rRNA from 1 species